rnacentral:tRNA from 1 species
CGGGAUGUAGCUCAAUGGUAAAACUCAGCCUUCCAAGCUGGUAGCGUGGGUCCGAUUCCCAUUACCCGCU